rnacentral:rRNA from 1 species
GUGGGGAAUAUUGGACAAUGGGCGAAAGCCUGAUCCAGCCAUGCCGCGUGUGUGAAGAAGGUCUUCGGAUUGUAAAGCACUUUAAGUUGGGAGGAAGGGCAGUAAGUUAAUACCUUGCUGUUUUGACGUUACCGACAGAAUAAGCACCGGCUAACUCUGUGCCAGCAGCCGCGGUAAUACAGAGGGUGCAAGCGUUAAUCGGAAUUACUGGGCGUAAAGCGCGCGUAGGUGGUUCGUUAAGUUGGAGGUGAAAGCCCCGGGCUCAACCUGGGAACUGCAUCCAAAACUGGCGAGCUAGAGUACGGUAGAGGGUGGUGGAAUUUCCUGUGUAGCGGUGAAAUGCGUAGAUAUAGGAAGGAACACCAGUGGCGAAGGCGACCACCUGGACUGAUACUGACACUGAGGUGCGAAAGCGUGGGGAGCAAACAGGAUUAGAAACCCCUGUAGUCC